AUUGAACGCUGGCGGCAUGCUUUACACAUGCAAGUCGAACGGUAACAGGCCGCAAGGUGCUGACGAGUGGCGAACGGGCGAGUAAUGCAUCGGAACGUGCCCAGUCGUGGGGGAUAACUACUCGAAAGAGUAGCUAAUACCGCAUACGAUCUAUGGAUGAAAGCGGGGGACCGUAAGGCCUCGCGCGAUUGGAGCGGCCGAUGUCAGAUUAGGUAGUUGGUGGGGUAAAGGCUCACCAAGCCAACGAUCUGUAGCUGGUCUGAGAGGACGACCAGCCACACUGGGACUGAGACACGGCCCAGACUCCUACGGGAGGCAGCAGUGGGGAAUUUUGGACAAUGGGCGCAAGCCUGAUCCAGCAAUGCCGCGUGCAGGAAGAAGGCCUUCGGGUUGUAAACUGCCUUUGUACGGAACGAAACGGCUCUGGUUAAUACCCGGGGCUAAUGACGGUACCGUAAGAAUAAGCACCGGCUAACUACGUG
rnacentral:rRNA from 1 species